rnacentral:rRNA from 1 species
AGAGUUUGAUCCUGGCUCAGAACGAACGCUGGCGGCGUGCUUAACACAUGCAAGUCGAACGAGAAGCUAUCCUUCGGGAUGGUGGAGAGUGGCGAACGGGUGAGUAACGCGUGGGCAAUCUACCCUUGGGUGGGGGAUAACCAUUCGAAAGGAUGGCUAAUACCGCAUAUCCAAUAAUGUCAUAAGGCGUUAUUGAAAAUCCUUCGGGGCCUGAGGAGGAGCUUACGUUCUAUCAGCUUGUUGGUAGGGUAACGGCCUACCAAGGCGACGACGGAUAGCUGGUCUGAGAGGAUGAUCAGCCACACUGGCACUGAGACACGGGCCAGACUCCUACGGGAGGCAGCAGUGAGGAAUAUUGCGCAAUGGGCGAAAGCCUGACGCAGCAACGCCGCGUGGAGGAUGAAGGCUCUCGGGUUGUAAACUCCUUUCAGGGGGGACGAAGUAGAUUGGGUAACCAAUCGGACGGUACCUCCAGAAGAGCCACGGCUAACUUCGUGCCAGCAGCCGCGGUAAUACGAAGGUGGCGAGCGUUGUUCGGAUUUACUGGGCGUAAAGCGUACGCAGGCGGUUGAAUAAGCGAGAUGUGAAAGCCCCGGGCUCAACCUGGGAACUGCAUUUCGAACUGGCAGGCUAGAGUAUGGUAGAGGGGGGUAGAAUUUCAGGUGUAGCGGUGAAAUGCGUAGAGAUCUGAAGGAAUACCGAUGGCGAAGGCAGCCCCCUGGGUCACACUGACGCUCAUGUACGAAAGCGUGGGGAGCAAACAGGAUUAGAUACCCUGGUAGUCCACGCCGUAAACGAUGUCUACUCGGAGUUUGGUAACUUAGUUACUGGGCUCCCAAGCUAACGCAUUAAGUAGACCGCCUGGGGAGUACGGCCGCGAGGUUAAAACUCAAAUGAAUUGACGGGGGCCCGCACAAGCGGUGGAGCAUGUGGUUUAAUUCGAUGCAACGCGAAGAACCUUACCUACUCUUGACAUCCAUAGAACUUUUCAAGAUGAAUUGGUGCCUUCGGGAACUAUGAGACAGGUGCUGCAUGGCUGUCGUCAGCUCGUGUUGUGAAAUGUUGGGUUAAGUCCCGCAACGAGCGCAACCCUUAUCCUUAUUUGCCAGCACGUAAUGGUGGGAACUUUAGGGAGACUGCCGGUGAUAAACCGGAGGAAGGUGGGGACGACGUCAAGUCAUCAUGGCCCUUACGAGUAGGGCUACACACGUGCUACAAUGGUCGGUACAGAGGGUCGCAAGCCGCGAGGUGUAGCUAAUCCCACAAAGCCGGUCGUAGUCCGGAUCGGAGUCUGCAACUCGACUCCGUGAAGUCGGAAUCGCUAGUAAUCGUAGAUCAGAAUGCUACGGUGAAUACGUUCCCGGGCCUUGUACACACCGCCCGUCACACCAUGGGAGUGGGCUGCGCCAGAAGUAGGUUGCCUAACCUUCGGGAGGGCGCUUACCACGGUGUGCUUCAUGACUGGGGUGAAGUCGGUGCAAGGUAACC